rnacentral:rRNA from 1 species
GAUGAACGCUGGCGGCGUGCCUAAUACAUGCAAGUCGAGCGAACAGACGAGGAGCUUGCUCCUCUGACGUUAGCGGCGGACGGGUGAGUAACACGUGGAUAACCUACCUAUAAGACUGGGAUAACUUCGGGAAACCGGAGCUAAUACCGGAUAAUAUAUUGAACCGCACGGUUCCAUAGUGAAAGACGGUUUUGCUGUCACUUAUAGAUUGAUCCGCGCCGCAUUAGCUAGUUGGUAAGGUAACGGCUUACCAAGGCAACGAUGCGUAGCCGACCUGAGAGGGUGAUCGGCCACACUGGAACUGAGACACAGUCCAGACUCCUACGGGAGGCAGCAGUAGGGAAUCUUCCGCAAUGGGCGAAAGCCUGACGGAGCAACGCCGCGUGAGUGAUGAAGGUCUUCGGAUCGUAAAACUCUGUUAUUAGGGAAGAACAAAUGUGUAAGUAACUAUGCACGUCUUGACGGUACCUAAACAGAAAGCCACGGCUAACUACGUG